CACAGAUAUUUACACAUAUUUACAAAGUGUGGAGGGGUGCUUUUAUGUUUAAAAUCAUUAUAUACAGGUUAGACUGUGAUUUAAAAACAAAUGUUGAUAUCUUUUUAUAAUAUUUACAAAAAAACGGUGCGGGAAAUGGACAUGAUUACAUUUCCGGAUGCGGGAAGCGGGAAUAUAAAAAAAAUAAAAAAAAUCUGUUUUGAAAAAAAUAGGUGCGGGCGGGUCCGUCGAACAAGGAAUCAAAUUGGUGUGGCCUUAAAACAAACUGCUAA
rnacentral:lncRNA from 1 species